UACGUAGGGUGCGAGCGUUGUCCGGAAUUAUUGGGCGUAAAGGGCUCGUAGGCGGUUUGUCGCGUCGGGAGUGAAAACACCGGGCUUAACUCGGUGCUUGCUUUCGAUACGGGCAGACUAGAGGUAUGCAGGGGGAGAACGGAAUUCCUGGUGUAGCGGUGAAAUGCGUAGAUAUUCGGAGGAACACCAGUGGCGAAAGCGACUUUCUGGGACGUUCCUGACGCUGAGGUUCGAAAGCUCGGGGAGCAAACAGG
rnacentral:rRNA from 1 species